rnacentral:rRNA from 1 species
CCUACGGGAGGCAGCAGUGGGGAAUAUUGGACAAUGGGCGAAAGCCUGAUCCAGCAAUGCCGCGUGAGUGAUGAAGGCCCUAGGGUUGUAAAGCUCUUUUACCCGGGAUGAUAAUGACAGUACCGGGAGAAUAAGCUCCGGCUAACUCCGUGCCAGCAGCCGCGGUAAUACGUAGGGUGCGAGCGUUAAUCGGAAUUACUGGGUGUAAAGUGUGCGCAGGCGGCCGCGCAAGUCGAGUGUGAAAGCCCCGGGCUUAACUUGGGAAUUGCGCUCGAAACUACGUGGCUGGAGUGUGGCAGAGGAAGGUGGAAUUCCACGUGUAGCGGUGAAAUGCGUAGAGAUGUGGAGGAACACCAAUGGCGAAGGCAGCCUUCUGGGCCAACACUGGCGCUCAUGCACGAAAGCGUGGGGAGCAAACAGGAUUAGAUACCCUGGUAGUCCACGCCGUAAACGAUGAGUGCUAGGUGUUAGGGGGUUUCCGCCCCUUAGUGCUGAAGUUAACGCAUUAAGCACUCCGCCUGGGGAGUACGACCGCAAGGUUGAAACUCAAAGGAAUUGACGG